ensembl:lncRNA
UUUUCUGAACACACUCUACCACCAACAAGGACAGCUCACCAGUGGGAACUGAUAGAUAAGACUGCUGAUGUGCUCUCAUCCAUUGAAGAGCUGACCAGAAACGUGAACAGAAAGACUGCACCUGAUGGGAUCCCUGCCAUAACGGAUGUGUUCUGUCCAGUGAAGGCAGUGGAGAAGCCCUACACUGAUCUUGAAACUGUGCCACGCUAGUAGAGACCGGCUACAAGGAUGGGCAGCUGUUUUCGCAAAGUCAGCCAACCACUUGCUUCCAAAUGACCCUUAUCCAGAAGUAUCCGUGAGUGCCUCAUCAACAGAAACUAAAGUGGAGACCUACCUCUCAGAGAAAAACGCACACAUAAGAAAAGCCGACCCACUUCAGUACUGGGAAGAACAUCCUAAUCUGUUUCCCUCUAUGGCUGCUGUUGCAAUCCCAGUGUGCCCCUGUAGCUCUGUGGACAGUUUUGGAUUUGUUUACAUCUCACCCCAACC